AGAUGUGGGGGUGAUCUGGUUGCAACCUCUGUCACUCCACUGGUCUCCAGGGUUGAUUUGGCUGAUCUGGCUAGCUGGGCAGUUGUCCCCUUCCUCCCUCAUUGCUCUAUGUGUGUCUUUCCAGAAACUUUGUGCUGGGUUGAAGAGGACAACCUUCCCCAAUAGAGGAGGACUAUGCUUAAGUCAAGGGUAUACGAGUGGCAGUGCUCCCCCGCUAGAACCUCUAGACAAGCUCUCAAGGUCAAUUUGGAGGUAAAGGUAGAGUAGUCAGGCUUCCAAGACUCCAGACACAUCUAAAUGAGGAACAGCAUGUGGCAGUCCGCUUUUCUUA
rnacentral:snRNA from 1 species